rnacentral:lncRNA from 1 species
GGGAGGGUGUGCUUUCGCAAAGUGGUGACCACAGAUGCCUCCCUGAUGGGAUGGGGGGCUCUGUGCAACGGAGCAGCAGUGAGAGGACUCUGGACCUCAGUACAGAGCAGGCUUCACAUAAAUUAUCUGGAGCUGCUGGCAGCUUUCUUGGCCCUGAAGUAUUUUCGCUCUGUGCUAUCAGACCAACAUGUUCUGAUCAGGACGGACAACACUACAGUGGUCUCGUACAUAAACAGGCAAGGGGGUACACGAUCACUUCCCCUGCUAAAACUGACUCACUCUCUGUUGAUGUGGGGCAGCGUUCAUUUUCUGUCUCUGAGAGCCACUCAUGUUCCAGGACGCCUGAACCUGGGUGCAGACCUUCUCUCCAGAGGGGGUCCCCUUGUGAGAGAGUGGAGAUUACACCCUUUGGUAGUGGCUCAGAUAUGGGUUCGAUUUGGCAGGGCGGAGGUGGACCUCUUUGCUUCCAGGGCAAACGCCCACUGCCCCCUGUUCUUUUCCAUAACAGACCACAAUGCACCUCUGGGUAUGGAUGCGCUAGCGCACCCAUGGCCCAACAUGCUUCUGUAUGCGUUUCCCCCAGUAGAAAUGAUACUGCCUGUGUUGGAGAGAGUGCGUCGUCAGGGUCUGUCCCUGAUUCUGGUGGCCCCUCGGUGGCCUGCGAAAUCAUGGUAUGCCGAGAUAAUCAAUCUACUGGCAGCGGAGCCGUGGCAGCUUCCUCUACGCAGGGACCUCCUUUCGCAGGCAGGUGGAGAAGUGGUUCAUCCACGUCCGGAAUUGUGGCAGCUACAUGCCUACCUGUUGAACGGUCAAAUUUAAUGGCUCAGGGUCUGCCCCCAAGUGUGGUGGCAACGAUCCAGAGUGCUAGGGCAUCAUCCACUCGUGGCUUAUAUGCUUAUAAAUGGCGAGCAUUCGAGCAAUGGUGUCAGGACCGAGAUGUACUCCCAUUUCAGUGUUCGAUUGUGGGGAUUUUGACUUUUCUUGAGGAAUUGUUGGAUAAAGGUCUGUCCUUUUCCACUAUUAAGGUUUAUUUGGCGGCUAUAUCUGCCUGCCAUGUUGGUUUCAAUGGAGUGACGCCAGGUGCGCAUCCGCUGGCCAUGCGUUUUUUAAAGGGAAUUCGCCGGCUGAGGCCUGUGGUGAAAUCCAUCAUCCCCUCAUGGGAUUUAACUGUAGUGCUGGAUGCUCUCUGUGGCCCCCCUUUUGAGCCUAUGGAGUCAGCAGAUAUGAAAUUUCUGUCAUAUAAGACUGCACUACUUCUCGCUUUGACCUCCGCUAAGCGAGUGGGCGAUCUUCAUGCUUUAUCAGUGCAUCCUUCUUGUACCCAGUUCACUUCAGAUGGUUCUAAGGUCACAUUACGCCCAAACAUGGCAUAUGUGCCUAAGAUCAUCCCUUCAGCUCAUAGCUCCAUGAUUUUUGAGCUAAUUAGUUUUUGCCCUCCUCCUUUUGCAUCUGAGGAGCAAAGGAGGUUACAUUCCUUGUGUCCUGUACGUGCUCUACGUGAAUACAUAGACCGCACUAGGAGUGUGCGUUUAUGUGACCAGCUGUUUGUGUGUUUUGCUAAUCCAGCUAAGGGUAAAGCCCUGUCUAAACAGCGGCUUUCUCACUGGAUUGUGGAGGCUAUCUCCCUGGCCUACAACAGCAGGGGUCUUCAGUUACCUCAGGGUGUAAGAGCACAUUCGACCAGGGGCGUAUGUACAUCGUGGGCUUUGUUUAGGGGGGUAUCUUUGAGUGACAUCUGUCGUGCUGCCAGUUGGUCAUCACCACACACUUUUGUUCGGUUUUACCGUCUGGAUGUAACGGCCCCUUCGGUGGCCCAUUCGGUUCUUUCCACUGGGUCUAGCAUGCACUAGAGGUGCUGGAGGUUGGCUUCCGGUUCAUAGCUGCUCUGCGGGGCGUGUAUAC